rnacentral:rRNA from 1 species
GACGAACGCUGGCGGCGUGCCUAAUACAUGCAAGUCGAACGCUUCUUUCCUCCCGAGUGCUUGCACUCAAUUGGAAAGAGGAGUGGCGGACGGGUGAGUAACACGUGGGUAACCUACCCAUCAGAGGGGGAUAACACUUGGAAACAGGUGCUAAUACCGCAUAACAGUUUAUGCCGCAUGGCAUAAGAGUGAAAGGCGCUUUCGGGUGUCGCUGAUGGAUGGACCCGCGGUGCAUUAGCUAGUUGGUGAGGUAACGGCUCACCAAGGCCACGAUGCAUAGCCGACCUGAGAGGGUGAUCGGCCACACUGGGACUGAGACACGGCCCAGACUCCUACGGGAGGCAGCAGUAGGGAAUCUUCGGCAAUGGACGAAAGUCUGACCGAGCAACGCCGCGUGAGUGAAGAAGGUUUUCGGAUCGUAAAGCUCUGUUGUUAGAGAAGAACAAGGACGUUAGUAACUGAACGUCCCCUGACGGUAUCUAACCAGAAAGCCACGGCUAACUACGU